CUGAUGGAGUUACAUAUUCGUUUGGAAUUUUCUACGACGAGUUUCUCGAAUACUUCAAGGAAGGCAAAGGACUGACAUCAUGGAUUUUAUCCAUUCUCGUAGGCGUAACAUUAUGUUCGGGUCCAAUUUCCAGUUCAUUAGUCAAUAGAUGGGGAUGUCGAGCGGUUACGAUAGCCGGGGCAGUUUUAGCCUCAGCAUCCAUGGUGAUCUCUUUCUGGGCCCAAAAUGUCCUCACCUUAUGCAUCACCAUUGGCAUAGGAACAGGCUUCGGGUUCGGCCUGAUUUACCUCCCAGCCAUCGUGAGCGUUACGAUGUACUUUGAGAAGAAACGCUCACUCGCAACGGGAAUUGCGGUCUGCGGCUCUGGAUUUGGCACGUUCAUUUUUGCUCCGAUCAUAUCCAGACUGUUGAGUGAGUUUGGCUGGCGCGGCAGUAUCUUGAUUAUCGCCGGCAUUGUCUUGGAAUGCACCCUGUUUGGAGCGUUGUUCCGACCAUUGGAGAACGACACAACGGCGCCAAAGAAAGAAGACCAUCUGUUGGUUAAAGCGUGCGACGCCAAAGUGGAUAUCCACGUUUCGGAACAUGAUUUUACCGAGUACGCGCCCAGCUACCUGAAUGGGAGCAACCAGAUGCACAGGCCUCAUAGUGUAGCUCACUUUACGCUGCCCAAGAGCUACAAGCACGAGAUGAACGGAAAUAUCCCUCAAAAUAUCAAACCGAGUGAUGUGACCAGACUGGCGCUGAGCCAACCGAUGCUGACACAAUCAGAAACUCAUUAUAGGUCUCAUCAGCAUGGUAGACAUCAUGGCCCUAUAGACAGGCCGGACAUAUUCUAUCAGGGCAGCCUAAUGAACAUUCCCUCGUACAGAUCGCGUUUAGAUCUGAAGCCCGGAGAGAUCAGUCUGGACGAUCGACGACAUUCCAGCUUCAGCUACAAGAAACAUUAUCGCUCGGCGGAUGAUGAGGAAGAGGACGCGAAACUGUGCGGUCUAAUCCCAUGCUCUCUAGAAACCAAAGACACUCUGCACGAAAUGCUCGAUUUCUCCCUAUUUAAAGACCCCACUUUCAUUCUGUUCUCCACCAGCAACUUACUGACCAGCAUCGGGUUCAGCAUACCCUACGUGUACAUCGUGCCUAAAGCCAAAGAGUUGGGGAUCGACAUUAAGACCGCAGGAAUGCUGAUUUCCAUUAUUGGCGCAGCAAACACUGUUGGCAGGAUUGUGUUGGGGUACAUUUCGGACAAGCCGUGGAUCAAUCGACUGCAGGUGUACAACUGGUGUCUUACUAUCUGUGGUGCAGCAACUUUCAUCAGUGCCUUUUGCUUCGCCUUUUACUCGCUGGCCAUCUACAGUGCAGUUUUCGGUUUCACUAUUGGAGCCUACGUGGGACUCACUUCAGUCAUUCUUGUAGAUCUGCUUGGGCUCGAAAGACUCACUAAUGCCUUCGGACUGUUGCUGCUUUUCCAAGGAAUCGCUUCUUUAGUGGGGCCACCAAUUGCAGGAAGCCUGUUCGAUCUUACCAAGUCCUACGAUCCAGGCUUUUGUUUGGCCGGCUGCACGAUCGCGUUGAGUGGUAUAAUUUUGUUUUUCAUUCCACCUCUUCAGAGAUGGCAACUGAGCAAAACCGCAAACAGUCCGAAGAAUGAAUCCAAGGAAAAUAUAUAGCAACCACUGAUUCCUCAACAUCACUUCCAAUGUUAUAAUAGUUUGUAAAUGGGAAUAGACCACUGGGAUAUGUUGAGAUUAUGAACUUCAAAUCACUAAAAUAGCUUGAUUUUUACCAAUGUAAUAACUUCAAUAGGCGUCUUUAUACAUAUCCAAGAAACAAUGAGGAAGCUAAUCAUAGACAUAGAAGAGGGUGGCAGUAAAUGGGCACAACAUCCACUUCGGGUUAUUGUAUCUUUUUAGUUAGUAUUUCUUAUGUAUUAUUAUAUUGUAGUUUGUCGUAGUUAAAGUACGUUUUUCAAUAUUUCUUUCUCUUAGGUCGCUCUUCGUUAAUCCUUCUUGCACCACUUUUUCCAAUAUCUAUAACUGAUGUUGCCAAAAUACUCCAAAGCAUGUUUAUUCUUGUCGAUUAGACUAAUUUUAAUUCGCAAUAAAUCUUCCGUACUUCUCUGCCAACUUGUUUUGUAUAUAUGUAGGUGGUAACAAUAGGUUGCAAACUUUUAGAAUAAUCACGUACACUAAGGCACAAUUUUAUCAAAUUUUAUAUGUAUACUCAUGUACUAAUGGCUGUGAUAUUAUAAAAUCCGUAUAAUAUACAUUAUAGAAUA
rnacentral:misc_RNA from 1 species